rnacentral:tRNA from 1 species
GCCUAUGUAAUCCAACGGCAGAGAUAGGGGACUUAAAAUCCCUCCAGUGGUGGUUCGAAUCCACUCAUAGGCACCA